rnacentral:rRNA from 1 species
GACGAACCGUGCGAACGUUAUUCGGAAUCACUGGGCUUAAAGCGCGUGUAGGCGGGCCGGCGCGUCCGCCGCUGAAAGCCCCCGGCUCAACCGGGGAAGCGGCGCCGAUACGGCCGGCCUGGAGGGGGGUAGGGGGACCUGGAACUUCCGGUGGAGCGGUGAAAUGCGUUGAGAUCGGAAGGAACGCCCGUGGCGAAAGCGAGGUCCUGGACCCUUUCUGACGCUGAGACGCGAAAGCCAGGGGAGCGAACGGG